UGUAACUGCAUUUGAUUUAUAAAAGCGGUAUUAGUUAUGUCUUUGUGAAUUGCUGUCUUUGUUGAGAUUUAAAUCCAGGUCUGGAAGGAACCCAGAGAGUGAUGGCACUGAAGAUCUUAAUGGGGCUAUUCACAUGACCAUCUACAUGCAUAGACUUAAAACCGAGGAAGAGAAGAAACAAAGUUGGUUCAACCCUUGCUCCAUACAUCAGACUCCGAUUAAUGACCUCCCUAUCUAAGCUUCUACAGAACAUACCAUGAAUCUUAAUUGAGUUUAAAUCCAGGUCUGGAAGGAACCCAGAGAGUGAGGGCACUGAAGAUCUUAAUGGGGCCAUUCACAUGACAAUGUACAUGCAUAGACUUGGAAACUGAGGAAGAGAAGAAACAAAGUUGGUUCAACCCUUACUCCAUACCUCAGACUCCGAUUAAUGACCUUCCUAUCUAAGCUUCUACAGAAACAUGCCAUGAAUCCUAACUGAGUUUAAGAACCAUGUACAAAAUGUUGCAGCAAGAACGAUCAAAACAGACCAUUUCAAUCGAACACUGGUAUUUAUAUAAUCAAAUAACGACAGCUUGCUUUCCCUCUUACCUGUUAUUUUUCCUGAAAGCAGAUUUUUAUGCAUGCAACAAUCAAAUAGGUCUCGAUCAUCAUAGUGGGGUUUAAUCAAUAUAAUACCACACUAAUGGCAGCAAACUUAUCAACUCGUCCGUUUGUCA
rnacentral:lncRNA from 1 species